GCGAAAAUUUUUGGACGCCGACU
rnacentral:snRNA from 1 species